AAAAAUGUCUGUUUGAUUGCAAAACUUAGAUUUAAAUUAAAUAGUGUUAACUUUGGCGUCACCAUUUGAAGUCAAUGAUACAAUUCCUUCUAAAAUAUGAAUCAUCCUUAACUGCUGUAUUGAAUAAGCCCAACGUCAGACACCAACAACUAAUGACGUACUAUUUUAUUAAGUUUUUAAAAGUAUAUAUAGAACAUGUCUGAAAGACUUGGACGUCAUUCAACAAUUGCUUAUUGCCCCAAUUGCGGUCAACAUGUUAGAACAUUCACUAGUUAUGAAAUUUCUCUAAAGACGCAUUUGCUGGCCUUACUUUUGUGUCUAUGUGGGUGCUGGUUCUGUUCUUGUAUACCUUAUUGCUCAACAUGUGUCCAUGAUAUUGCACACUACUGUACACGAUGUGGGAUGUAUUUGGGUAAUUCAAGUUUUUAAUCAAUAGCUAAUGGAUUUGUAAGAAAUAGCUAUAUUAAUCAGUACACAUAGAAAAAUAUAAGCGAAAUGUAUCUAUUGAAAGUUAUUAUGCCAUAUAUAUACAAAUAAAAUUGAAUUCAUU